UACGUAGGUGGCAAGCGUUGUCCGGAUUUACUGGGCGUAAAGAGCGCGCAGGCGGUCGAUCAAGUCGAGUGUGAAAGCCCCCGGCUCAACUGGGGAGGGUCAUUCGAUACUGAUCGACUCGAAGGCAGGAGAGGGUAGUGGAAUUCCCGGUGUAGUGGUGUAAUGCGUAGAUAUCGGGAGGAACACCAGUGGCGAAGGCGACUACCUGGCCUGUUCUUGACGCUGAGGCGCGAAAGCUAGGGGAGCAAACGGG
rnacentral:rRNA from 1 species